rnacentral:rRNA from 1 species
GACGAACGCUGGCGGCGUGCUUAACACAUGCAAGUCGAACGGAAAGGCCCUGCUUUUGUGGGGUGCUCGAGUGGCGAACGGGUGAGUAACACGUGAGUAACCUGCCCUUGACUUUGGGAUAACUUCAGGAAACUGGGGCUAAUACCGGAUAGGAGCUCCUGCUGCAUGGUGGGGGUUGGAAAGUUUCGGCGGUUGGGGAUGGACUCGCGGCUUAUCAGCUUGUUGGUGGGGUAGUGGCUUACCAAGGCUUUGACGGGUAGCCGGCCUGAGAGGGUGACCGGACACAUUGGAACUGAGAUACGGCCCAGACUCCUACGGGAGGCAGCAGUGGGGAAUAUUGCACCAUGGUCGGAAACCUGAUGCAGCAACUCCGCCUGCGAGAUGACGGCAUUCGGGUUGGAAACCGCUUUCGGCUGUGACGAAGCGUGAGUGACGGUAAUGGGUAAAGAAGCACCGGCUAACUACGUG